rnacentral:lncRNA from 1 species
UAGCUUCUUAGAGACUUGUACUGUAAAUAAAGAGGACCUUCAAUAAACUGGAAUUUACUUACUCUACUAGAUUUCAGAUCUCUUUGAGGAAAUUAACAAAGUGAGAGAAAGUUGAACUCAACUCUGUUGACCAGACUGGCUUCAAACUCACAGAAAAGCACCUUCCCCUAUGAGUACUGGGAUUAAAGGCAUGUUCCACCACCGCCCGGCCCUCAGUCUUGAAUGACUAGUAAUGCCCAUGGCUGUAUAGGCCUUCCAAUGUUUAGUUUUCUUGAUAAAGCAUCCAGGGAAGUGAAUCCCUUUUCUGUACAAAAUAAUCUGGUUGUGUGGGUGGAUGGUACUCCAUCAUUCAUUAUUUUCUCCUAUCAACUUGAAGACAAAUACUGUACUGGCUGAAACUGAAACCAUCUUGGUGGUACUCAUGGUUGUGGUCUCUAGGCCACGAGGCCCACUUUCCCUUAGAUUCAUGAGGGCAAAGCUGUGAGGGGGGGAGAGGAGAGAGAGGAGAAGAGAGAGGAGAGAGGGGGGAGAGGAGAGAGAGGAGAGAGAGGGGAGAGAGAAGAGAGGGGAGAGAGGAGAAAGAAGCUAGGUGGGAAGGUUUGUAGACAUUGUCCCAAGCUUCUGACUUUCAGGCUAGACUCCUCCCAGUUACCUAGUAACAACAAGAUAACAAGCCCACUAUAAGAGGGGCUGCUCGGCCCCUCCUUGCUCUCUUACUCCCUUUACUCUCUUACCUCUUACUCUAACCUCUUACUCUCUAGCCUUUCCUCUCGCUCUCCUUUUCCCCUUCUCUCCUCUUGGACAUGGCUGGUUUCUCCCUCUCUUUCUUUCCACCUUCUCUCCUUUCUCCCUGCCUUUCUACAAUAAAGCUCUAAAACCAUAGACUGUCUCUGUUCAUCAAGGCCCACUGUGCUUGGAUGAUCAGAUAGGUUUUCUUCUAACCAGCUGUGCCUAAUCUCCCAUCUCCUGUCAGAAGGCCUUCCUGUGCUCCAGCCACAGACUGGACUAAGGACUCUUGCCUGCAUGGGAACCUCUCUCCCUCUGCCCUCUCUUCUUGUAUCUCCUGGCCGAGAGUGUUGCCCCGGGGCCCCUGGACUGGGGGCUGCCCCUUGUCCACCCUCUGCAGUGUGCGGUCAGUGGCUCCAUACAGACAGAUGCCCACCUGAGGCCGAGUGGAAAGCGUCCGGCAGAGUUCCUGUCCUCCCGCAUCCGCCUGCCCAGAGCACAGGAACUCUGGCUGGAAGCGGGCUCUCUCCCCCCUACCCCCAUACCCACAGCCACACACUGAGUGUGCCCCAGAGAUGGCUAUGGCUAGGUUAUGUGGGGAAGUAGGGAAGUUACAGACUUAAAGAUGGGCACCUUUGCUCUUGUAGGAUGGAAGAAGUGAAUGGUAGGAAGAGAAUUCCUAAGUCAAUGCUUAAGGAAAUUAAGAAAUUUUUAAUUUUAUCUUAGCAGUUAUAUGCUAUAGUCAGAUACAUAGAGCAAAAUUUACCAUCUAAAAUUUUUAAGUUAAAAUUCAGUGGUGUGAAGCACACUCUUAUCUUCAAAAUCCCAGGUAACUACCAUCUGAUUUGUAAGAAUGUGAUUAUCCAAGUUACCUCAUAUAAAUGAUUUUGUGACUCUCCUGUUUCACUUACAUAUUUUAUGUUAUGACAAGUGUUACCUGCUUAAUAUUUGAUACAUCCUCUAUUCAAAAUACUAUAUUAAAAGGAGUUUUGGAGCUGGGAGAUGGGAUAGGAGCUUGUUCUGUCCACUCCACACACUGGUUGGAUGUUAUCACAACUGUCAGACCCCAUUUGGGGGACGUGGAGUUGACUUCGUAGCUAAUGCUUUGGGGGAUUUUGGUUUUGGUGUUGGGAGUCUGUUUCCAAAGUGAUGUAAUUUGUAAGUACUGAAAGUUUAGGCUUCCAGCAUUUGAAGACGAGAUAUAAUAAAUCAGCUCUACAGUCUUGUUCUCUUU